rnacentral:rRNA from 1 species
GCUGAAUUUAAGCAUAUAACUAGGCCGAGGAAAAGAAACUAACCAGGAUUCCCCCAGUAACGGCGAGUGAAGCGGGAGAAGCCCAUGCUGCCAACCGCUCCGGCGGGUUGUGCCAGGCGUGCCUGGUGAGGUCCCGGGGAGAAAUUCUUUGGAACAAGGUAUCAGAGAGGGUGACAAUCCCGUCUGUGCCUCGGGGUCCUCGCGUGAAGGCCGUCCUAGUGGAGUCGAGUUGCUUGGGAUUGCAGCUCAAAGUCGGUGGUAAAUUCCAUCGAAGGCUAAAUACGGGUGGGAGACCGAUAGCGAACAAGUACUGUGAAGGAAAGAUGAAAAGAACUUUGAAAAGAGAGUUAAAGAGUGCCUGAAAUUGCUGAGAGGGAACCGAAGGUGAUCAGUGGGGGCCGCUGCCAUUUUUCGUGYUCCGACCUCGGAGCACGCCCUGUGGCAGGGGCCCGCUCCGCGCCGUCGCGUCCGGCCGUAAGCUUGGGGCCGGGGGCGCCGGGGCGGAGGAAAUGGUCCUCUUUACCCCGUCUUGAAACACGGACCCAAGG